rnacentral:piRNA from 1 species
UAAAAUAAGUAAAUUUCUUAUUGACGGCA